rnacentral:rRNA from 1 species
AGUUUGAUCAUGGCUCAGGAUGAACGCUAGCGGCAGGCUUAAUACAUGCAAGUCGUGGGGCAGCAGGUUUGUAGCAAUACAGAUGCUGGCGACCGGCAAACGGGUGCGGAACACGUACAGAACCUUCCUUUGAGCGGGGAAUAGCCCAGAGAAAUUUGGAUUAAUACCCCAUAGUAUAAUGAAGUGGCAUCACUUUAUUAUUAAAGAUUUAUUACUCGAAGAUGGCUGUGCGGCUGAUUAGGUAGUUGGUGGGGUAAAGGCCCACCAAGCCUGCGAUCAGUAACUGGUGUGAGAGCACGACCAGUCACACGGGCACUGAGACACGGGCCCGACUCCUACGGGAGGCAGCAGUAAGGAAUAUUGGUCAAUGGAGGCAACUCUGAACCAGCCAUGCCGCGUGGAGGAUGAAGGUCCUCUGGAUUGUAAACUUCUUUUAUAUGGGACGAAAAAGGCUUUUCUAAGUCGUCUGACGGUACCAUAUGAAUAAGCACCGGCUAACUCCGUG